rnacentral:rRNA from 1 species
ACUCAAAUGAAUUGACGGGGACCCGCACAAGCGGUGGAGCAUGUGGUUUAAUUCGACGAUAAGCGAAGAACCUUACCGAGGUUUGACAUCCCUGGAAAGCCCUGGAAACAGGGCCGUGCCGCAAGGAACCAGGUGACAGAUGCUGCACGGCUGUCGUCAGCUCGUGCUGUGAAGUGUACGGUUAAGUCCGUAAACGAGCGCAACCCUUAUUGUAUGUUGAAUUUUUCAUACAAGACUGCCGGCGUUAAGUCGGAGGAAGGUGGGGAUGACGUCAAGUCAGCGUGGCUCUUACACCUCGGGCCACACACGUGCUACAAUGGGUAUUAACAAUGGGUUGCUAAGCCGCGAGGCGGAGCUAAUCCCACCAAACAUACCCCCAGUUCGGAUUGAAGGCUGCAACUCGCCUUCAUGAAGCCGGAAUCGCUAGUAACCGCCGGUCAGCCAUACGGCAGUGAAUACGUUCUCGGGUCUUGUACACACCGCCCGU